AAAAAAGCAUAUUCAAAGCAAAGAGCCACACUAAGCAGAUUCAAAAGAGAUUUAAUAGGCACUAUUUUUUCCCUAUGCAGAAAAAUGUAAGCCUAUUCAAAUUUUUCAACUUAGAGAGCUAUUUUUAGUUGCAUGAGACACAGAGACUAUAUAAUCCUCGUAAAGAUGUCAGCUGGCCCCAGGCACCUGCAGAAAUGAUUCAUUUGACUAAUGACAAAGUAUCUGCAUAUGGAGAGCAUCAUACAUCUUCCAUAUGUUAUAAUAAAAUGUGUUCUCAGUGCAGCAGAAAGUAUUUUUAUCUGAAGGUGGCAUUGACCCUGGGGAGUCCAAACAGCUAAAGUAUCAAGAAAUGGUAACACAUGUGAAAUCAGUUCUUAUUUAUCUUGAGCACGGCGUCAAGGUUAUGGUAAAAACUUCUGGCGGUGGCUGGUGGAAUGCCCUGGACACUUUCUCCAACCGUCACAGGUUGGGAGGGGUCCAGCUCUAGAGGCUUCUGACAAAAUCAGGAAAGGCCAAGAUUUGUGAAUUCCUUUCAGUUUGUCAAACCAUUGACUACGUAACCAGGAAGUGAGAAAUUGAGGUGGAUGUCGGGAAGUGGCUGAUAAUGUCCUCCUGUAUCAUCCAGCCGCUGGUGCCGAAGACACUGGACCCGUGUUAGAAAUCGCCGGUGCAUUUGGAGUGUCAGCGCGGGUAGGAGUGCGUGGGUUAUGGCUCACAGCAAACUCACCGGGAGGCAGCCUCUCCGCAUGGUGUCCGCCCCCUUCGGGAUUCGGAUCCACCUCUCGGGAGUGCAGUGUCUGGGAGCAGGAAGGGGCACAGCUUAGACGGAGAAAUCAGGGUUGAGGGGACAGAUGAGGGAUAUUGCACCUCUGCUGCGGAUCCCAGGUGAGGUGAAGGCGGCUGGGAGAGUCCUAGAGGAGGGCCGGGAGGUUCAGGUGCAAACACCCCAGGACCUUGGUGCGGGGCAUAAACCUGCAGAUCUCCUCUCCUCGAGAGCCCGGGGCCCGCUCUGUGUCCUGGGGGACUCGCCUGGCGUUCCCCGUGGUGCCCAGCAGGCACCCGCAACCCCAGCUUGGCUGCCCCUGACUGUGGACGACCUCGUUCUGCCCGGGCGGAGACGCCUCCCGCUGACCCCUCCCCACCUGGACGUCCACCUCACCCCUCCGCGCUAGGCCACCUGAGGACUGAAUUGUUUGGGAAGGGAAGGGAGGGCAGAGGGGGGAAGAGGGAAAAGACAGGACGAGGAAGAAGAGAAGAAGAGGAACAGACAUUGCUUUGAUCCUGUCUUCCUGUGAUCGUUGCGGGGUGGAGCAUCUCCCUCCUCAGUUUACACCCACUGCCAGAGGAACCAGCAGCCAUCACGCUUGGCCAGCCCCUCUCAACAUCAGCGUCACUAACCACAUCGGUGAACUGGACAAGUGUGAUUCUGUGGAGGCCAUCAAGGAAUCUUUAUUGUUCUUUUGUCACUUGCACUGAGAAUCCACUUGGAAUUGAUUUUUGUCUAUGGUAUGAAGUUAAGG
rnacentral:lncRNA from 1 species